rnacentral:lncRNA from 1 species
UCUUUGUUAUUUUCUUGCCAUUCGAUUCCGGUGUCGUUGAUACUCCAUUACAGAGGUUAAUUUUCGUUCAAAUUCAUUGCUUACCUUCAUUGUUGAGAUGUAAUAUGGUACCAGGGGGAUCAAGCCUCUAGGGUUGGGAUCCCUUAUGUUGCUUUGAGCCUUCGAAUCGUGUUGAAUUACGCGUUUAGGUUUCUGCCUGGUACUCUCCAGUUUAGAUGAUUGAGUUGGAUUUGGGAGCAAUUGACUUAGGGCUUUGAUAGAGUGUGGUGAGACGGUUCAUGUGAUGGUUGAGAUUUGGAUUUAUGGUGGCCACCGCCGCCGGAGGAGAUUCCCAGCGUGGUGGCCCGCGGUGGUCUUAUGUUGGACUUCCCUAAGAUGGUGAAUUGGAGAGUGACACGUAUUUUUGUUCAAAUUCAAGUUUAAUCCCACGCGUUUUUUUAGCCACAUGAUGAUUGUGUCAAAAACAGGGCUUGGUACGGUUGGGCCUAGUGAGCACUUUGUUGGUCAUCACCCUGUAUCUGGUUUUGCACUCCCCAACCCAUUGUAGAAUAAUGGGCUUGCCAUUGGACGAGACUCUGCGCCCAUUUUUCUUGGAACCCUAGUUUCAGGGCCUACACCCCUAUUGAGCCCAUUUCUUUUUUGUUUUAAUCAUGUGUUUGUUAAUUGUUUUUUAGCCUUGUUAAUUGUUGUUAAUUAGGAUACUUAGGAAAUAAUAAUUAGGAUCAACAUUUUAGAAUUUAAUUAUAAUUAUAAUUUUAAUCUUGAAUUAAUUAGAGAUAAUUAGGAUAAUUGAUUUUAAUAAGAUUUUAAUUCUAGAAUGAAUGUCCUAAUUGAUUUCCCAUGUGAAUCGACUCUUUUAACCCUAGGGUUUAGUCAUAGAAUUUCACGCUCCCUUAGAUUAGAGUUUGAUUUAUAUUAAUUGAUCUUUUUAAUCAUUUGUUUUUCAUGUGAUAUUUGACAAUUGAUGAUUAAUUUGAUCCUAACAUUUGCAUGAUCCCUUAACUUAGGAUUUGUGAAUCAUUUGAUAGGUUGUAUAUAAUUAACCAUUAAUUCAAUCCCUUUGAUUUAAGUGGAUCAAAAGAAAUUCUAAUUAACUAAUUCCUUUGAUUUAUGUAUAAUCCAUCAGUCUAUUCAAGUGAUCAAAAGUCCCUUGAUCACUUGAUAAGACUAGUUUCUGUAAUGUUGUGGAUCUCAAGGCCUCAACUUCAGACUUUCAAUCAAGGCAUCCCAAAUAAAUCAAGUAGUGAACUAUCAUGCAAGGCACUUCAAAGGUGUUUUUUCAAGAGCUUAUCAAUCAAGAUUCAAAUAGUGUGGCAUGAGCCUUAGGCAAUAGAGAAGGAAUGAGAGUGGAUAAUUUUAUUAACUCAUUUUGAAUAUCUUUGGGUACGAGACAAAUGACCCAUUUGCUCAUCGUAUCCACCUCUAUUCAUAGACUUUAGCAUUAUUUGAAUCAAAUGAUUGUCAAGUAUCCCUUUACAAAGCAGCAGUGCAACAAGCAGAAGAUUCUAUCAGCAACUUAUCAAUCAUGAUUUAAGUUGUAUGUCAUGAGCCUUAAGUAACAAAGAAUGACGAUAAUGGAGAAUUCUUAUCCUUGUCUAGGGUAUCCUUGGGUACAAGACGAAUAACCCAGUUGCUCAUUUGUUUAUAGACUUUAGUGCAAUUUGAAUUAAUUGAUUGAUAAAGUCUUCAUCAUCACAAGGAGCAACAAGGAUUCUUCUUCAGCAACUUGAAAGUUAUGAUGAGAAUCACAUGCCAUGAGACUUAAGUAGUAAAGAACAAACGAGAGUGGAGAAUUUUAUUCACUCAUUUGAAUAUCUUUGGUUACGGGACGAAUGACCCAGUUCGUCCUCGUAUUCACCUUUACUCAUAUACUUUAUUAUGGUUCAUAUCAAAUGAAUGUCAAGUCUUCUUCAUCUUCCAUUAUCAUACAUCAUUUCUCUUGCCUCAGUCUCUUGUUGUCUUUGUUUCGUUCAUAGUGGGUCAAACUAUGAAAGCUCUGACUAUCUCAUUGCAUGGCGAGAAUACGUAGGCAUCAGGAUUCAAAUUCUCCAAGAGUUACCUUAUUUAUUUCUAUCUUAUUAAUUAAUUCCCCAUUCAUCAAUUAAUACCAUAUUUUUGAAAUCAAAAUACAAUCUUUCUUUGGAUUCCAUGCAUAUCCUUUUAGGACGAUUUAGUCGGAAGUCCACCUUGUGAACCAAGAGAUGUUUGCCUUAAUGUCAAACACUUUAUUCCUUCCUUUUUGGCUAAUACGCUUGUUUACUCUUUGGUUCAGAGUUUAUUUUUUCGUGGAUCCAAUAUACCAUUCUUAUUUGGUUUCAAAAUGUUUGUUCCCUAUAGUGUUAUAUUAUUCCUUGUACCAAACAACACUUUCCUUUGGUCCCCAUACAUAUCCUUUUAGAAAGCUUAGUCGGAAGUCCGCAACCAUACCCUUGAUGUUGUGUUUGUCUUGUCAAUCCUUGUUGCUUAUGCAAACACCUAUUUGUUUCCACCAUUGUAUUUUGGUUUCGAUUAUACUGUUAUCACUGCAGUCAACCCUUGAAGUGAAGUUGUGUUUGUCAUGUCAAUCCUUGUUGCUUAGACAAACACCUCUUUGUUUCCACCAUUGUCUUUUGGUGCAAGUUAUAGUUUUCAUCACUGCAGUCAACCCUUGAAGUUAUGUUUGUCUUAUCAAUCCUUGUUGCUUAGGAAAACACCUAUUUGUUUCCACCAUUCCCUUUGGUACCAGUUAUACUUUUCAUCACUACCAAUCUUUCUUUAUUUAUUUUUGUGGUUCCACGAACUACGAAAGCUAUGAUUUUCUCAUUGCACGAUGAGAAUACAUAGGCACGAGGAUGCGAAUCCUUGGCGAGCAUAAUUAUUCUUUCUUCCGCCUUAGGGAACCACCCAUAUCUUUCAUGAUUCGUUAUCUAUCUUCGAUCAUAACCAUUCAUCCUAGUGACAUACUGCCUUCUUUGAAACCAAAUACAGUUUUCUUUGGAAUUCCAUAUAUACCCUUUUAGGACGAUUUUAUCGAAAAUCCGCAUUUCUACCAAGAGUUGUUUGUCUGGCCGACAAACAAUUUAUUCCUUCUUUUUUGGCCAAUAUGCAUGUUUCCCUAUAAGGUACAAAUUUUAUCCCCUAUAUGGAUUCCAAUACACCUUUACCUUUGGUUCCAAAUCAUACAUUCAGCCACUUUUACCAAAACCUUCAAUUCUUUGACUUUGGUUACUUUUCUCUAUCGCUCCAUUCAUCUUCAUGGACCACUAUUCACUACAGACAUUCAAAUUUUCUAUCUUCAUUCACUUCAUGUGAUAUACUGUUAUCUUUGAGCCAAAUACACUAUCUCUUUGAGCUCCAUCUUGUGUCUGCUUGUGAACCGAGAGAUAUUUUCUAUGGAACCAAACACUUAAUUCUCUUUUUUUCGAUCGUACCAUAUAGUGGUGAAUGCUCCGGCUACCCACACAUUGGUUAAUUUCAGUUUUAGUCUUGGGUUCAGAGUUCAUCCCUUGUUGGAGUUAAAUAACAUAAUCCUUUGGUUCAGACCAUACCUUUAUCACUCUUCGCUCACCUCCCACCAUUGGUUCUAUGAACUACGAAGCUCUGAAUUCCUUAUUGCACUAUAAGGAUACGUAGGCAUGAGGGCCCCAAUCCUCACCGAGGACUCUAUCUAUUCCUUUCUUUUCCCUUCUUAUUUCGCGAUUAAUAUUUAGAUGUAACACCCAUUCAAGCAAAGAACGAUCAAAAUGGUUCCCUUUGAGUACAAUCGAUGUGAGGGAUGUUAAUACAUUCCCCUUACAUAAUCGACUUCCUUACCCAUUAUCUAUUCCCCCCAUGUUUUAUCGAUGUUUUCCCUUUACUUCGGGAAUAAAUAAAGUUCGAUGGCGACUCUGUUGUAUGUUCGAACAUGCGAUGUGUUCGGUAUAUUUUUGCUAGCUUCAGAGAACAUUCCAAUAAACAGAAUCCACUCUUGCUUAAAAGCUUGGGAGUUAUUCACAAUUACAACUCAACUAUCCGUCCAACUCUAGCAUCAAGGUUAUACAAGAGUGACUCACAAACAACAAUGAACAGACUAAAACCUAAUUGACACUUUCACACAUGUGGCAAACCUUAUUAGGUUUAUAGUCUUACUUUUAAAUAGCCUGAGAGCAGCAUGGGCUUGAUGAACAAUUCAGGCUAAACAAACAACUGAUCCAAUAUGAUCUUCAACAUAAUUUUCGAAAGAGAAUAUAAUGUUUCCUUAAAUGCUUUUGACAUCCAUUCUUAGGAAACAUGGCGAAGCUUGAACCGACCUUUGCUGCUUCUAUAAACACACGUUUCUUGGACCGCCGUAUACGUGAAUCAUAUCUUCAAAGAAUCUUCUGUGAUCUCACGCUUGAAAUAAAUCUUCCAAGAAUGUGAAACAAGCCACACUAUGAUGUGGUACCAACAUGUCAAUACAUCUUGUCUAACAUUUUUCUAGAACACUUGCAUCAUCAUCUAAAUCUAUAUCUAUGGGUGGUAUCGCCUUUGACUUUUAUUUAUUUGAUUAUACUUCAAUCUCACUCAAUUUGAUGAACUCUUGCAUCCUUUCCAAAAAAAAUGAUCCAGCCAAGUCUCAGCUCUCCUUGUUAAAUGAGUUGUCCACUCUGGUGAUGUUAGUGGUAUACGAAAUCCCGAUUUCAAAUAAGCUUGAACAAAGUGUCGUGUUUUUGAAAUCCAUCUAAUACACAUAAUACGAUCAUUUGGACUUUGAGAUGGGGGAAGUGUGCACUGCAAAAAAUGUUUUCGAGAAGUCGUAUCUUGUCAUAUUAAUACACACUCUUUCAUACGCACUUGUUAUAAGAUGACCAAUUCCAGGGAAGCACAUCCAUUUAUCCUCCGGUGUCGGUCCACUAAUGCAAGGAGCAAAAGAGUCAUAAAUCGCAUCAAAAUUUUCUUCUUUUUUUCAUAUACCCGUAUGUAUGAUUCGUUAUGACCCUUCAACUCUUGGAUAAGUUAACGGAAAUCAAGUAUCCUUCAACAUUGUCCAACACACUUCUAAAGCCCGAGUAACAGUUUCCUCUUUUUCGAUCUCCAGAAAUGCAAACCCAACAUAAUAGGUCUUCUCGGUAGAGGUAACACAAACAAUUUUCAAUAGUGGAAGCCUCUACUUAUGGGUCUUAUAUGUGGAAUCAAUAAUGAGUAUAGUAGGAAACCUGUUGAACAACUUUAUGGAAUCAUGACGAGUCAAAAAUAUAUCUCGAAUGAUUACUCCAUCCUCACAUGUUCGAUACUUAGAUACAUAAUUGUCAUCAUGCAGAAGUUUCAAUAGUUAUUGCAUUUUAGUUCUAUCCCCCCUUAACGCCUUGUUCUUAUGGACAAAAAUAUUGUAUAAAUGCUUGAUAUUUGAUAUGUUUUAUGGUAUUUUUACGAUUCAAAGUUGCAAGUAUGUUUUUGGGCUGCAUCAUGUUAAAUCUCAUGUCUAAAAUGAUUUCCUUCUCUUCCGGCAUAAGUCAACAUGAAAUUAGAUGCCCGACUAACUUGUCACACAUUUCAUGGUUAUGUAAGCCACAUAUUACAUUAAAUUUCCUUUUGUUAUUUGACAAAAGAUAACCAUGCAACUUAAAGGGACACUCACAUUUUCUCAAACCGAUGUCAUCUUGUUUGAAUUUCCGAAGAGAAGUGUUAUACUUUCCACUUCUUUCGCAUCUCAUAAUCACAAAUGUGACUCUUUCAUCUGAACCAUUAUUGGACCUUCUGGUUACAACACCAAACCCCAAUUUAGAUACAUAUGUGCGAAUCCAUUUAAGCAUUUCAUAAAGACACUCAAAAUUUUGUCCAUUUGUAAACUGGUUUGCAAUAUCUACCUCCUCCACAUCAACACUUUUGGCAUCCGUAGACACAAUAGGUUUGGGAAAAACAUCAGGAUGCACCAUAUCUACUGCAAACAAUAACAUAAAAUAUUCAAAAUAAGAUUGAAAUAAACACUAAACGUUUCCGGAAAUGCAUUUCCGAACGCAACGUAACGUUUACAACUCAAAAACAAGAUUAUUGUGAGCAAUGAAGAAUGAAAUAAACCAUCUUUACCUUGAAUUUUAACUUUUUUUUCUACUUUUGAUUUGAUGAAUUACAAGACUGAAAAUUUGGAGUGAAAAUCUUGAUUGAGAAUAGAAAGAUUUUUUGUAAGUGUUUUGAGAAAAAAAUGGUUAUGGUGUUAGAUCAUGCAGGAUUUUGUUUUAUUAAAAAUCACAUUUGAUUGUUCCGUAAAAUGUGGUAGAUUUUCAAAUUUCUGCUUCACAAAUCCAGAAAUACACUUCCAAAAAUGUCAUUAAGUUGUUUAAAUAGGAAUAAAUUGAUAGGGUGAGUCUAGAGAUACAUCUUUGAAAUAAAAUUUGGAAUGAGGUGACAAUCAGUUUGAUGUGUUUCAAUGAGACAAAUGACGCGUCCAUAGAUGCAUUUUUGGAAUCAAAAGAUAUUUUUAGAUUUUCAUAAAGUGUUUUUCCAUCUCUUAUGAUAGAAUUAACAAUUCCAAAAAAAUAAAUUACCUUUUACUUUAAUCUACCAUCAAGAUAAGAUUUUUAUAGAACUACCAAACCUUUUCCUCAAUCCAAUCGCGAAGAGAAAUACUUCUUCCAAAUAUCUCAAGUAAAAAUUACCCAAAUCAUUUGUAAGAACUUUCAAACUUCUCUAUUUUGAUGCAUAUUAAACCCCUAAAUUGAGUAGUGUGAUCGUAUUCAGCCAAAUCAUACGGUGAGUCCAAACAACACUAAAUCAACCGCUAUAAAAAAAUUAACACUUUAAAAAUUAUUACAACUAUGAUCACUCGUAUGCACGAUGGUGAUAGUAUGAGAUACCAAAAAUUUUCUUUUUUUUUUACUUCAGUUUUUCAACUAUUUUGCGGGGGUUUUAAACUCUCGCAAAAUUUUCAUUUAAAAAAAAAUAUAUUCUUUUUGUAUUUUUAAAAAUGAAUUUUAUAAAAGCCUUUUCUAAAGUAUUACAAAAAAAAUUAUAUUCGCUUUUUCAAAAUUCAAAGACUAAUUCGCUAUCUUAUAACAUAAACAUACAUUUUUGAAGAUCAAACAUAAUUUAAAUUGCAAUUUUUUCAAAAAAAAAUUGUAUCUCUAAAAUGAUUUUUAUAAAAAAUUAUUUGAAAUAUAUUCAAAAUUAAGUGAUUUUUUAAAAUUUUGAUAUCUAAUAAAUUUUUUAAUAAAAUGAUAAAAUAUUUAAAAUAACAUUUAAGAAUAAUUAUUCAAAUCGAAUUUUCAUUUGAAGCUUUUAAAAAAAAUCUUUGUAAAUUUUUUUAACAAAAUUAUGGGUCUGUUUGUUUCAAUUUUAAAAAAAUAAAAUUUUUCUUUGUAAUUUUAAAAAUAGAUUUUAUAAAAUUGUUUUUUAAAAUAUUACAAGUUUUUAUAUAUAUAUUUUUUUAAUUUAAAGACUAAUUUUGACAUUAUAUAAUAAACAUACAUUAUUAAAGAUCAAAACAUAGUCGAAAUUAUAAUUUUUUAAAAAAAAUUAUAUCUCUAAAAUAACUUUUAUGAAAAGUUAUUUGAAAUUUUUUAAAUUUUAAUAUAAAAAAUAGUUUGAAUAAAUGAUAACAUAUUUAAAACAAUUAAUAACUAUUCAAAUUAAAUUUUUAUUUAAAUUUUUUAUAAAAAAAAUUAUAAUUUUUUUUAUACAAAAUUAUUUUAUACUAUUAAGAUUCUUUAAAAAAAAAAGUCAAAACAAACCAAUCCUAUAUUUCAUUAUAUAAAUCAUUUAUAAAAAAUUAAAAACAAUCAGACCCGAAAUAUUCUCUAAUGCCACCCUCAAAACUCCACUUUAAUCUAAUCAUUCUAACAGUUACAUUUUUAUUAACAACAAUGCUAAACACUUCCCCCAAAUGGCCAUACAACAAACCACAUUCGAUCAAUAAUCUUUCUAAAAUAAUGUAUGCUCACCAUUAGCCUCCUAAAUUACCAAGCCCGCACACCAUUUUAAUAUCUUUCCAGGACAGAGACUCCUUAUUUAAAAAUUAAUAUAUGUUGACCUCAAUCAUAAUUGGACUUUAAUAUCUCUUUUUAUUAUAUUUUAUAAACAUUUCUUUACUUGAAUUCUUCUUAUAAAUAAGUCUAGUGCAAAUUCGAUGUCAGUUGUGAUUAAUUCGAAAAUUGAUUUUUUAAAUUAUUUUUCUUAUGCGGGCUAACUCAAUAAAUCAAGAGAUCUGGACAACUUCAAAACACUAAAGGAGAAAGAAAGUUGCUCUUUUCAUUUUUAGGGGUUCUCUUACACCACAAUGAAAAGACUAAAAUAUCUCCGGCAAUACAUCUUCGAACGCACAGUUUCCACACACAACUGAGACACAAAUGGUGAGAAACUCUUAUUAUGUUAAAAUUUGAUCCAGAGAUGCAUUCCCGUAUGCACGAAAGGUUGAUUCGGAUAUGCAUAUAUGUAUUUCCCUUUAGUUCAUUUGGCUGUGAGCUUUUUAAAAAUGCAUCUCCAGAAUAUGCUUUGUUAGAUCAAAGCAGAAACAGGCGAAAACAAUGGCAGAAUGAAAAACCAAUAUAAAUUAACUCCAAAAUAAACAUUACAUCGAUAAACAUUACAUAAAAUUUAACAUUACAUGUUAUUAAAAAUAGGUGGUUCGGGACAUUGCAACAUUCUUAUAAUAUCUUCGACUGAUCUUUGAAUCGUCGCAUCCACUUCAAUCAGACUCUUUGUUGAGUAACGGUAAAAGUUAUUCCACAUCACCUUCAAAUCAUCAUUUGUUUUCAUUUCAAGCACUGUGAACCGUAUAUUCCAUUUGUUGUCAAUUGAGGGUGAACGGUACUCAAACUUGACAACUCUUUGAUUUUCUGGAUAUUGCAAGAGAGUAUUCAAUUUGGUUUUCAGAUCGAUGAAAAAUAUAUCCUUGCAGAUCCGAGCUUCUGAAUCCACCUCUAACCAUAAAAAACAUAGAAUACAACAUUCAUAGUAGUCCCCACUUCUGAACUACUCAACUCAACACAAACAAAUAUAAUUACAUUCAUAACACAUAAUUCUAAUCACAAUUUCACAACUCAUAUGUAUAGUCAUAAUUAUUCAAUAACAUCACAACUCACACAUAUAAUUAUAAUCCAAUAUUCAUAAUUACACCAAUAACUCAAAUAUUAUUUAAACAAAUCACUUCAAACAAUCACUAAACAUCCACUACAUGCGAAAACAACAUCAAAAUUCGAACAUAUCACUCAAAAAGGAUCUCUGGCGGUCAUGAUGAUGACCGACAAGAGAAAGCUCACAACUCGUCACCCCUAUGACGAUUGACAAGAGAAAGCUCGCCUCGAGACCAUGACGGUCUCCCAAUCACCCUGUUAAAGACCGUCAACCAUUCCUGAUGCAUGACGGUAGCCCGUGACGCCCGUUACAGAAGGCAUUUUCUGCAUUUUGGACAUGGAAACUCAUUUGAAGCUCUGAUUUUGACCUUGAGCACCCCAAUCAUCACAUACACAUCAAUUAACACCCAAUUUCAUCAAUUAAUCAUAAUUCAAUGUUAUGUUUAUAACACCCAAAAUACAAUAAUGGCAUUCAAAAUAUUCAUGUUCACAUCCAUCCAUCAUGCAUAAAUUCAAUAUACAAAACACGAAAUUACACAUUAAAUAUGACAAUUAGCAUGAAUUUUACACAAUUAUCAUCAAAACUCAUAAAGCACAACAAUGGUGAAGAAAACCUAGAGGGGGUGAUGAUCCCUCUCUAUCUUUCAUGCAAUAACCCUUAUAUUAUAGUAGUUCACCCUACCUGAAUUUCUAGCAGCAAAACAAUCAAACUCUUUGGCUAUGGAAUUCUUCCCCUUCACGAGUUUCCUAGGUUUGUCUCUUUUCUACUUUCCAUAAAUUCCACAUACUGACAAGUUUGGUUCCCCUCACUCCAUUAUUUAUCUUAACCUAAAAUUAUAUUUAAGUUAAUUAUCACCCCUUCACCCCUCACCUCUUGUGCAAUCCCUCUUUACUACUCAAACUUCACCAAAAUUCUAUUUUCUACCCCUGAACUCACUAUUCUACUUAUUUUUUAUAUUAAUUAUUAUCUUAUUAUUUUAAUCAAAUAAACUACACUAAAUUCUAACAAACCCCAACAAUGUCAAAUAAUCAUAUAACAUAUACUAUCACAAAAAUAAAUAAUUAAAAGCAUUUUAAAUCACUUAAACAAUUAAAUAAAAGCAACACAAAUUUAUAGGAUUCAUAGGAUUUAACAGUUGUCAACGGUUAUCUUUGUAAUAGUAUAUAAUGCAUGCUUAUGCAUUGUAGUAGGGGUUGCAAAUUUUCAAUGAUUCUAUAAAGAACCAAAAUACCAAAGUCACACAGCGAAACAGUUUGUGAGAAAUCCGAGUUUGCGACUACCUUUUAAAUUUUUUGCAAAUCUUUUGUAUUUCAAAGCAUUUACAUUAAAAUGUCAUUUACUUCAUUUACUUUCUUUUUCGUUUAUUAUCUUUACCUAAAGUCUAUCUUUUUCAUUCCAUUGGUCACAAUCCAAACAUUUAAAACUAAAUCACAUAAAUUUUUCACCAUAACUUUCCUUCGUACAUAUUGUCUUUGAGAUUUUUCGAGUUAAUCUCUUAAGUGAACUUAACUCGUGAUUGUUUACUAAAAACACCAGUAAACACCAUGGCUGGUUUAUUUGGCCCGAGGAUUCUACUCCUAUAACUGUCAUUAACUUGAGGCUUAAGUUAUCCUCUUUAUGGACUUCUAUUGGGAAAUGAGGCAUCACUUCCCUUGGAAAAGGUUACUACGAGUUCUCAUUUUAAUCGAUUAAGGAUGUGUGUUGCACUAUGUCAGUUACCUUGUGAAGCAUAAAUCUAGAUUUUUAAAAGUUAUUUCCUUAGAAUAGGGAUCUUGGACCUUCUGCUAUUAAUCAAACUUCAGCUAAACUAUAGAUUCAAAUUCAUGGCAUUUCUCAAGAGUAUUGGCACCCUAAGACUCUUUGCAAUUGAUAGUAGCAUGGACACACCUAUAUGUAUUGACUACGCAUCAAACAAAAUUUCUUUUAUUGGCGAUGAAAAUGCUCUUCAGGUGGAGUUUAUUGGGGAUAUGGUGUCUAUCGAGUCAUCCAUUACUAGACAUUGGUCGUCCUUUUGGCCAAAGACAGAUUUCAUGAAUGUGGUCGAGACUCUUUCAAAUUUUUCUAUCGUUCCUUAGCAUCUGCGGAAUAGGUGGGCUAAUUGUGUUCAUUCCAUUCUGUCUAUGAACUUCAUGGUGUCGAAUAUCUUUAGAGAGGGGAAAAAGUGAUGAUAAGCUUGCAGGGUUGGUGUUAUUUAGAAUUUUCGACAAGGGAAAAAUCUCAGUACAAUUAGAAGACUUGGAGAUAGUUAAGGUCAACUAGAAAUUUGUCGAAACGUUAUGGGUACAAAGGUCGAAGUUUUAAAGGAGACGUGUCAAUGGGACUUAGGAUUUUUCAGGAAAAAGGAACAUUUUUCCUAACAUUUUGACGACAUGAAGAUUUGGGUUUUUCGACUGUGUCGAAUAGCAGUUAUUUGGGCACGAAGAAGCAUUUUGUUCAAAUAAAUAACUAUUUUGCAUCCUUAUCCAAGAAACACGUGGAGAAUAUUCAGAAGCAAGACGCAUGCAAGGAUCUACGUGGUGAAUGUUAGAGAAAUGAAUGUUAGGAACAUUUAUUUUUACACUUGUAGAAAUAGGGAUUCUAGAGUUAAAAUUCAGUGUGUUCAUUUGAUUUCAUUACAAAAUCUCACAAAUACUAUAAGUACCAGUGUUAAAGAGAAACAAGUUCACUAAGAAAUGUAUGAAUCUUGAAACACCAUUUUUUAUUCAAAUACAAAGUAUUUUAUUUCAGUUUAUGAUCUUUUCCAAUUUACUGUCAUUUCUCUUUUAACUACAUUGUUAUUGUACCUUCACUUUAUAAACUUUUUUCCUUUUUUCUACAUUGUCGAAAUCACUACUUUUCUUAACUAUUUCGACCACGUUUAAAUCUUUCACAAUCUUUAUGCAAAAUAUAAACAAAAGGUUUUAGCACUAUAUCCUAUGAUUCCCUUGUUGGUUCUGCAAAUAACCUUUAGUAAGAGACUAGUGAUUGCUUACCAAAUUUCCCAAUAAGCAAAUUGGCACGCCUAGUGGGACAUAUGCUAAACUCUUGUCUUUUUAUAGAUACUCAUAAGUUUCCUCUUAUAAACUUGUUUUGCAUUCACGAAUUGUUCUGGGCAGUUUGUAUGCGUUUAAGAAGUGGAAAGUCUUUACCAAAAAUGAUGUGUCCUCCUGUAGAUAACACCAGUUCAUAGAACAAUCCUAAGAAUGUAGUAGAAUAACCAGUUGGAUUGACGGUUGAAGAGGUAGAUAUUUCAACUUCUGUUAGGAUAACUGCCCCAAUGGUAUUGUCAAUGCCAUUUGCAUCGGUACCAUAACAGGGGAUAACACCCACGCCGCAGCUAGGAAAUGUCUUAUUUAACCCUGCGACCAUAAGGGCUUUGUUUGGGUUCUCAAUGCCAAUGAACAAUAGGGAGUACCUGAAGGUAGAGAAAAACAAGAAAGGGGGUUUGAAUUGUUUUCAUAGGAAUUAAAAACUUUUGCAACACCACACACACAAAAUAAAUGCUAACAAUAUAAAGAGUUUAUCAUGGUUUGCUUAUAAUUCAAAGCUACUUCAGUCCACCUGGCCAAGGUGAUUUCGCCUUCAAUAAGGACUUAAUCCCUUAAUCUCAACAGUUUACAAAAUCGUCUAAGAGUUUAACAACCUCUUAGCCCUCUCAAGUCUACAGACUUAAACAAGUCACUUGAGGAAUUACGAACAAUUUCAGGAAUACAAGUGUUUGACUAGAUGCUUAUAGAUAAGCAAUAUAAACACACUUUAAGAACGAUGAAACACAACCACACAAUAUUGAGCAACAACUCUUGUAUGGAAAACUAUUUCUUACAACUAUGAUAGUGAAAAUAUUUGGAGUUUGAGAAAUGUUGUUGUGUGAAAGUUGUCUCAUUGUAUGUAAGGUUCUCAUCAUCAGCAAGUUGUAAGGAGGCCUUUAUAUAAUACUUGAGAUGAUACCGUUGGGGGGAAAUCAAUAGAGAUUUUCGUGCCAGCUGUGGGAGUUAAUGGUAGUAAAUUCCUUGUCCUUUCCAUAAUAGUCUUGGAGCGUAAUCCAUUGUUUCCUUAAACAGACUUGUACUAUAAUUUGAAUACUUUCAGCGUAAGUUUCUGAUCAGAUGAUAUCUGAUGGCAUGUUAAGCAUGUAUCAGAGUGAGUGUGAUCAGAGUCUUCAGAGUUAGAGUUUAAAUAUCUUUUGCAGUCUUCGGAUUUCUCUUGCAGACUUCAGAUAUCUCUUGUAGACUCUUCAGAUAUCUCUUGCAGACUUUAGAUAUCUGAGCUUAAGCUUCAUCGUCAUAUUCUUCAGAUGAGUGCUCUUCAGAUGUGUUCUUGACCAAAGUCAAAUCGGAUUUCUCUUUAUGUUGGGUUAGUGUUUCAUGGACUGGAUCAGGUGCCAGAUAUUCGUUUCUUGAUGAUUAGAUGAUAACUUAUCAGAUUCAUUUUAGCUUAGAAUCCUGCACACUUAAGAAAAAUUGUUAGGUUACCAAAUUGUUUCAUUCUUUGUUAUCAUCAAAACUUAUAGAUAUAUUGCAGAAUCAAAAUCUUGUUUUAACAAUCUCCCCCUUUUUGAUGAUGACAAAACUUAGAAUUUUAAUGAAACAAUGAGUACUUUAAAAAAUUAUCAGAGUCAGAUAGAAAAUGACCCCCCCUGAGAUUAGCAAUCUCCCCAUAAGUCUGAUACUUGGAAAACAUUUCUUAAGGAUAUUUAGUAUCAGAUAUGGGUUUCUGGGGUAGAGAAUUUCUUAGGUUGCUUGACUUGAUUUAGUAGUUCCUUAGAUAAGGAUUUAGUUUCCCUUGGUUCAGAUAGAUCCUGAAAAAUGACUUAGUCUAUGCAAUAAUUUUAUGUCAUAAUGUAAGCAGCGUUUUUCUGAGAGUUAGAUAAAUUACUUCAUCAAAAGACUUUUAUUUAAUUCUCCCCCUUUUUGUCAGACUCAAAAAGCAAGUAACAAAAAUGUCAUUGAUAAGGAAAAGCUUUACAUAGUGCAGAAACAAAAGAUAAAGCCUCAGAGGCAAAAACACUUAGAAAAAUUACAUAAAAAAUCCUAGAGUAUCUAAGGGUUUGGAGGAGGAAGCAUCCUCUUAAGAAGCUUAGUUAGUAGACUUUGAAUGCUGGAGUUAACUUGGUCCUGUUUGUUGAGUUUGGUUCUGACUAGUUGUUGUUCCUUUUGCAACUCUUAUAGAGUCUUGAUGACUAGAGGAGAAAGGUCAAUUAUUGAUGACUCUCCUUGAGUCAGAGCAACCUCAGUUUUCUUAUCAGCAUCUACGACAUCUUUUUGAGCAGCUUCAGCGGCCAAUGCUGUUUCAGCUUUUGCUCUGGAUGCAACUUCUGCAACUACUUUCUCAGUUGCCUCCCUGGCAACAGCUUUUGCAUCUGCUUUUUCCGCAUCUUCCCUUUCUGCCUUCUCAGUAACUUCCUUUUCUAGACGAGCCUCCAACUUCUCCUCAGCACCUCUGAUAAAGUCAUUUCUGACUUGUUCAGAUAAGCCCUUUAGCUUGAAGACUUCAAAAGUCAUCCAUCUGAUGAACCCGUUCCAGUGAGUCCUUACUUCUGAAGGAUUGUCACUGACGUUGGAUUCGUCAGAGAGCUUCUUGAAUCUGGAAGCUGGACUCUCUGAGAACUUAGCUAGUGUCUCAUCAAAGGUAGGUAGAGUGAGGUUAGGUUCAGAGGGUUCAGGAAUAGGUUCAAAAGGGUCAGAUAUGGGUUCAAAUGGUUUAGGUACAAAGAGAGUCUUUUCAGAGUUAGCUAACGCCUAAAGGUCUUCAUGGUUUGGGGAAGUUGGGUCAGGGUUAUCUGAACCAGAGUGUUCAGUGUUAGAAAUUAGGUCAUAAUAAGGAGGUGAGUUGGAGUUUGAGGAGGGAGAUAGUGAUAGGGGUUCAUUGAACAUUAUGGCUUCAGAGUGGGGAAUGGAAGUGGUUUGGGGGUUGAUGAGAGGUAAAGGAGAUGAAGGUAUGAUAGUUCUAAGAAGGAUGGGGUUAGAUGAUGUGGGUUCUAGUGGUUUUUGUUCAUAAAGGAUGAGUGUAGAAGGUGUUGGUUCAGAUGAGGAAGAGAGUGAGGUUGUUUGUUAUUGAGAUUUGGAUUUUGCUCUGGGAGCUAGAGUAUGUGUGGAAGGUGAGGUGGAUGAUGUUGUAAUAGUGGUUGGGAGUGUGGGAGUGGAAGAGGGAGUGAUGGGGCAAGUUAACUAGAACUAGAUAGACGAGGAGCAUCUGAGAUAGGUGACUUACUUGGUGCUAAAUAGCUCAAAGGCACUGGUGUCUUCUGAGUCGCUGAAGACUCUCCCAGCUUGAGGCUCUUCUUAUUUUUCUUCUGAGAAGUUUCCUCUUUCUCUUAAGGAAGUUGGGGGUUGAUCUGGGAGCCAAUCCAAGCUGAAACCAGAGAUGUCGUAUCCUUGGGCUUCUAGAUCCUGCAAGUAGCAAGUGAUGACUUCUGGAGGAUCAAUGUUUGAGGAGAGAUACAUCUCAUUGGCUUUCUCUCUUUGGUCCUUCAGAACAUUCCCAGGAGGUGUUCCUUGUGGGUUUGACACGGACCUUAUCAAUCAGACCCAUGAUCUUUAGAUUCCUCCCAUUGAGAGGCUUCCCAACGUCCACAGUGACGUCUUCCAUCAGAUUUAGAGAGAUGAGAUGG